AAAUUACUCCCUUCGUUCGAAAUUACUUGUCAAACAAAUGAUUAAAAAUGGAUGUAUCAAAAAUUAAAAUACAUCUAAACAGAGACAUGCCUAUGAGAAGUAUUUUCGGACGGAGGGAGUAUAUC
rfam:Hordeum vulgare subsp. vulgare, WGS project CAJW01000000 data, contig: morex_contig_275291